AUGGGAAAGAACGAUAAAGAAAUUAAACUGUCGGUUGGGGCACUUAAACACAUGGAGAUUGACCAUUUAAAGGUUUCUCCGAAGUGUAAUAACACCCUAUCUAACCCCGAAACCGAGGAGGAUGAUGAAGCGGAUGCCAAAUAUGAUGGUUCGCUAGUCUCCCACUUGGUUGGUGAUAUUACCGAGGUUGGUUUGGAUGACGCAAGAUCUGGGUCCAUGUUUUGUGACUUCACAGCAUCUUUGCGGAAAUCUAAAUCACAAUCCUCUAAAAAGAAACAAAAACCGCCCAAGAAGGCGAAAAUUUUCACACCAAUCCGAGUUUCCACAUGA
rnacentral:rRNA from 1 species